rnacentral:rRNA from 1 species
ANGGCNAAUGAACAGGGCAUGAGCUCACGCAUUGAAAUUGUUGGCUUAUGGCCUUGAAUUGUAGUUUCAAGUGGCUCCACCAACGGAGGUGCAGAUGUAAGCCUCUUGGAAAAGAGCAUCAGCGAGGGUGAGAGUCCCGUUCGACAUUUGCAGUCCCCCGAGUACGGUGUGCCUACUCAGAGUCACGUUCCUCGGGAUUGGAGCGCAAAGUGGGUGGUAAAUUUCAUCCAAAGCUAAAUACAGGUUCGAGACCGAUAGCAAACAAGUACCAUGAGGGAAAGAUGAAAAGGACUUUGGAAAGAGAGUUAAAAGUGCCUGAAAUUGCAGAAAGGGAAGCGAAUGGAACCAGUGUUUCUUGGUGAGAUUGUUGCGUGCUAAAGUGAGUGCGCGCUGCAGCAACGCAAGUGCUGUGGUGUGCGCCAAACUGGAUGCGCGUGGUGCCUCUUGCCUGGAGUGUCAACGUCGGUUUGGAGUUGGGGAAACCUCGAGACACAUGGUAUUUUGCUCACGUGCGAUUGAAGGUGUCUUCGUGGAACUCAUCUCUGAACUGAAUCUUGUGUGUCUUGGUGCAUUGCCUCAGGGUCCACCCUCUACCCACCCUCUGUGUCUUGCUCUGUGCAGCGGGCUGGUGUGAUCCCUGUCUCAACCCUUGACAUGUGGAUGGUGACAAAAUGGUUUCAGUCGACCCGUCUUGA